AAACUUACCUGGCAGGGGAGAUACCAGGAAGGUGGUUUUUUCAGGGCAGGGCUUAUCCAUUGCACUCCAAGUGUGCUGUCCCUGAGAUUUCCCUACAUUUGGGAAAUUCGACUGCAUAACUUGUGGUAGUGGGGAACUGAGUUCAUACUCACCCCUU